rnacentral:lncRNA from 12 species
UUUUUUUUUUUUUUACCAUGAAUAAACGGUGGAAUAAUAAUCAUUUUCCAUUACGUAUGCCUUGAAUUGUAAUCGACAUGCGAAUAUAAGGAAAACGAAUUGUUAUAAUAAUAUUUGAGUAACGUAAUACAUAUCUGACGCUUCACGAAUGCCCGAGUCCGCCAGGUGCGCGUGCGGCAUAAUAUCAUCAUUAUCAGCAGCAGAUCGACAUGCACAUGCCUCGACAACGUGACCUCUUAUCUGAAAUUAAAAUUAUUUAAGUUUUUCUCUAUUAAUUUUCUUCUAUUUAUCCUACUUUUUAUAAAAUGAUGUACCUUUUGAGUAAAGCAUCCAUUAUCUAAAGCGUCGAAACCUUCGAUCAUUUUGCCACAAAAAUAACUGAUGUUUGCAACUGUAUGCGAAUAAAAAUUAAAAAAAUGUAACUCUGUAA